rnacentral:rRNA from 1 species
CCUACGGGAGGCAGCAGUGGGGAAUAUUGGACAAUGGGGGCAACCCUGAUCCAGCAACGCCGCGUGAGUGAAGAAGUAUUUCGGUUUGUAACGCUCUUUGUUCAGGGAGGAAAUAAAUGACGGUACCUGACCAACAAGCCCCGGCUAAAUACGUGCCAGCAGCCGCGGUAAUACGUAGGGGGCAAGCGUUAUCCGGAAUUACUGGGUGUAAAGGGAGCGUAGGCGGGAAAGUAAGUCAGGAGUGAAAGCCCAGGGCCCAACCCCAGGACUGCAUUGGAAACUGUUGUACUUGAGUGUGGGAGAGGUAAGUGGAAUUCCGGGUGUAGCGGUGAAAUGCGUAGAUAUUAGGAGGAACACCAGUGGCGAAGGCGGCUUGCUGGACUGUAACUGACGUUGAGGCGCGAAAGCGUGGGGAGCAAACAGGAUUAGAUACCCCAGUAGUC